GACUUUGAAUGGCAUCAAAAAGUCGGCAUGAGGUUGGUGUGUCCCCUGCAGGGUGCAAGCAGAACUCUGAAGUCCUCAUUCCCUUUAUAGACUGCUCCUUUCCAGUGGCAUUUGGAAAGCCUUCCUCCAUCACUACUCUGGGUUCAUUUAUUAGCAAGUCCCAAAGCUUUUCACGAACAAUGCCUCCCCGAUGCCUAUGUUUAGCCCCUUUGAAGUAAAGAAGGAUUUCUCGUUUUUGGUUUUCAGAUAAGGGCAAACGAGGAAGUAGAUGGGUAUAAGGCACUAUGACAUCCUUCAGCAAUGAAACUUGAGUGUGGUGUAUCAUGUCAGAUGAGCUCUCAUUAGAUACUUUUGAGUCAAGCUUGUACCACCCACCAAAAUCAACCACCAGUAGAAUUGCUGGAG
rnacentral:misc_RNA from 1 species